rnacentral:lncRNA from 1 species
AUUCCGGGAGAGCCUCACCAAGAAUAUAUCCACAAAAGUGCCAGAAUGGUGCAGCUCCUGGCUUUACUGUGUGACUUUGAGAAGCGGUGGGCCUAAGAACCUAUUUGGAAACCACCUCAAAGAUGAUCUGGGGUAGCAAGGAGAGUUGGAGCAACAUGGUCAGAGGGCCAGUUAUUGGAGUUUGUGGAGCUGGAUUCAGCCCCCCCCCCCCAGCCCCCAUACAAGCAUCACUGGUUGCUGCUAGCAGCUUCUUCAGGGAGGUUCUUAAAAUGUUAAAGUCAACAACUCAAAAUAGCUUCAGGAAGACCCUGAAACUGACCAGAUUCAUUAGAACCCUUCCUGCCCAAGCAAACAAGAGACCUGCGAGUCCCUCUAAGAAUGAAGGAAGCUGAGCUGCAAAGAAGACUCUGAGAGCAGACCUGGAAGAGGUUUAGACCGGAGUCAUUUGGAAGGGACAAUCUCCAACCUGUUGAUCUGCCUGCAGGCUGUGCAGUGAGCUCUAGGUUCCCAGCACUGUGCGCUGUCACCCCAUGCUGGGGUGAACCUUGGUGAUGCUGCUCUCUUUGAGUUAAUUCUGUUCCCGUAAGCAACCCCUUACCCAAAUUCUUAUAAGUAACCUCAAUAAAACUCAUGGGUUUACCAAGUUGG